AGUGAACGCUGGCGGUAGGCCUAACACAUGCAAGUCGAACGGCAGCACAGUAAGAGCUUGCUCUUACGGGUGGCGAGUGGCGGACGGGUGAGGAAUACAUCGGAAUCUACUUUUUUGUGGGGGAUAACGUAGGGAAACUUACGCUAAUACCGCAUACGACCUACGGGUGAAAGCAGGGGAUCUUCGGACCUUGCGCGAUUGAAUGAGCCGAUGUCGGAUUAGCUAGUUGGCGGGGUAAAGGCCCACCAAGGCGACGAUCCGUAGCUGGUCUGAGAGGAUGAUCAGUCACACUGGAACUGAGACACGGUCCAGACUCCUACGGGAGGCAGCAGUGGGGAAUAUUGGACAAUGGGCGCAAGCCUGAUCCAGCCAUACCGCGUGGGUGAAGAAGGCCUUCGGGUUGUAAAGCCCUUUUGUUGGGAAAGAAAAGCAGCAGGUUAAUACCCCGCUGUUCUGACGGUACCCAAAGAAUAAGCACCGGCUAACUUCGUG
rnacentral:rRNA from 1 species